AUGGAGCCUUUACAACCACCCUCAUCUUCUUCUGUAACUUCUUCAUCGAAUUCAAAUGCAGUAUUCCGUAUCUCGAAGGACCGUAUCCUCUAUCGCACCAUCGACAUGUCUAAUUUGGACGAAAUUGCACCUAGUUGCCAUAUCUCUGAAUUAGAGAUUUUAUGUCGCCGCGCCAUUGAUUACAGCUGCGGCCAUGUAAUUGAUAUCAACAUCGAGUAUUUUGGCACUCGUUAUCUUCUUUCUCACAUUGCUAAUUCCGCAAGUCGUCUACGAUGCUUCGUCUUGCAUGUUGCUCUAGGUUAA